GGAACCCAGAAAAAGUUCUCAGAAUAGCUGGGAAGACCCUGGGAUGCCUAGAGUGCUGCCCCUCCACCUGGGACGACUUGGGAGAGAGGCCUCGUGGAGGAGGGCAUGUGAGGGCAGGGCUCCGAGGCUUGCAGGGCCCUCCAGGGAAACUGGGGCCUCCAGGAAGUAGAGGGGCUCCUGGGCCACAAGGAGUGAAGGGUCAAAAAGGAGAUCAUGGAGACAGUUCAGUUACGGAGACUAAGCUGGCUAACUUAGAGAGAGAGCUGAGGAGCCUGGAGGCGGAACUGGACCGCAUCAAAAAUGUAAGCCUCUUCCUGCCCCACUGGGUUCCUG